rnacentral:rRNA from 1 species
CAGUCGCCGCGGUAAUACAGAGGUCCCGAGCGUUGUUCGGAUUCACUGGGCGUAAAGGGUGUGUAGGAGGUUGGAUAAGUCAGGUGUGAAAUCCCGCAGCUCAACUGCGGAACUGCAUUCGAUACUGUUCAACUAGAGGAUCGGAGGGGGAAGCGGAAUUCUUGGUGUAGCGGUGAAAUGCGUAGAUAUCAAGAGGAACACCGGUGGCGAAGGCGGCUUCCUGGAAGAUACCUGACUCUGAAACACGAAAGCCAGGGGAGCGAAUGGGAUUAGAUACCCGCGUAGUCCCUGUCUCUUAUAA